AUACGGAGGGUGCAAGCGUUAUUCGGAAUUACUGGGCGUAAAGCGCGUGCAGGCGGGUGGACAAGUCUGAUGUGAAAGCCCCGGGCUCAACCUGGGAAGUGCAUUGGAAACUGUUCAUCUUGAGUGCUGGAGAGGAAGGGGGAAUUCCCGGUGUAGAGGUGAAAUUCGUAGAGAUCGGGAGGAAUACCAGUGGCGAAAGCGGUCUUCUGGACCAAUACUGACACUCAGACGCGAAAGC
rnacentral:rRNA from 1 species